rnacentral:rRNA from 1 species
AAUGAACGUUGGCGGCGUGGAUUAGGCAUGCAAGUCGAGCGAGAACCGUAGCAAUACGGGGACAGCGGCGCAAGGGACAGUAAUGUGUAGAUCAUCUGCCCUCAGGACCGGGAUAGCUGCGGGAAACUGCAGGUAAUACCGGAUAACAUCUCCGGAUCAAAGGUGUGAUUCCGCCUGAGGAUGAGUCUGCAUCCUAUUAGCUAGUUGGCAGGGUAAUGGCCUACCAAGGCGAUGAUGGGUAGCGGGUGUGAGAGCACGACCCGCGUCAUUGGGACUGAGACACUGCCCAGACACCUACGGGUGGCUGCAGUCGAGAAUCUUCGGCAAUGGGCGCAAGCCUGACCGAGCGACGCCGCGUGUGGGAUGAAGGCCUUCGGGUUGUAAACCACUGUUAGAGGGGAUGAAAUGCAGGUGGGUUCUCCCAUUUGUUUGACAUAGCCUCAGAGGAAGGACGGGCUAAGUUCGUGCCAGCCGCCGCGGUAACAC